GGUGAGAUGGCCGAGCGGUCUAAGGCGCCACGUUAAGGUCUUCCUUAAUCAACAUCUUCUCAAAAGAUUCCGUGGUCCGAAAGGGCGUGGGUUCGAAUCCCACUCUCAUCA
rnacentral:tRNA from 2 species